GACCCGGUAGCUCAGCUGGAUAGAGCAGCGGCUUCCUAAGCCGUCGGUCGGGGGUUCGAAUCCCUUCCGGGUCGCCA
rnacentral:tRNA from 1 species